rnacentral:misc_RNA from 1 species
GAAAUGCGAUAAGUAAUGUGAAUUGCAGAAUUCAGUGAAUCAUCGAAUCUUUGAACGCACAUUGCGCCCGCCAGUAUUCUGGCGGGCAUGCCUGUUCGAGCGUCAUUUCAACCCCUCAGGCCCUGGUGCCUGGCGUCGGGGCGCUUCCCCUCACCGGGAACCCCCUAGAAUCAGUGGCGGACCCGCCGCGGCUCCGAGCGCAGUAGUAAAAUUCUCGCUUAGGAGGCCCGUGGAGGGAUUCCGGCCGUUAAACCGGGCUCUUUUGUCCAUUUUUACAAGGUUGACCUCGGAUCAGGUAGGAAUACCCGCUGAACUUAA